UACGAAGGUCCCAAGCGUUGUUCGGAAUCACUGGGCGUAAAGGGCGCGUAGGCUGUGAGGUAAGUCGGGUGUGAAAUCCCGGGGCUCAACCCCGGAACUGCACUCGAUACUGCUUUACUAGAGGACUGGAGAGGAGAUUGGAAUUCUCGGUGUAGCAGUGAAAUGCGUAGAUAUCUGGAGGAACACCGGUGGCGAAGGCGGCAUCCUGGACCGGCAUUGACGCUGAGGCGCGAAAGCUAGGGGAGCAAACGGG
rnacentral:rRNA from 1 species